rnacentral:rRNA from 1 species
AUUGAACGCUGGCGGCAUGCUUUACACAUGCAAGUCGAACGGCAGCGCGGGGGCAACCCUGGCGGCGAGUGGCGAACGGGUGAGUAAUGUAUCGGAACGUAUCCUGGUAAUGGGGGAUAACCAGUCGAAAGAUUGGGUAAUACCGCAUACGCACGAGAGUGGAAAGUAGGGGAUCGCAAGACCUUACGUUAUAGGAGCGGCCGAUAUCUGAUUAGCUAGUUGGUGGGGUAAAGGCCUACCAAGGCGACGAUCAGUAGCUGGUCUGAGAGGACGACCAGCCACACUGGGACUGAGACACGGCCCAGACUCCUACGGGAGGCAGCAGUGGGGAAUUUUGGACAAUGGGCGAAAGCCUGAUCCAGCCAUGCCGCGUGCAGGAAGAAGGCCUUCGGGUUGUAAACUGCUUUAGUCUAGGAAAAAGGGGUGCGAGGUUAAUACCCUCGUGCUUUGAUGGUACUGGAAGAAUAAGCACCGGCUAACUACGUG